UACGUAGGGUGCGAGCGUUGUCCGGAAUUAUUGGGCGUAAAGGGCUCGUGGGCGGUCUGUCACGUCGGGAGUGAAAACUCAGGGCUUAACCCUGAGCCUGCUUCCGAUACGGGCAGACUAGAGGUAUGCAGGGGAGAACGGAAUUCCUGGUGUAGCGGUGAAAUGCGCAGAUAUCAGGAGGAACACCGAUGGCGAAGGCAGGUCUCUGGGCAUUAACUGACGCUGAGGAGCGAAAGCAUGGGGAGCGAACAGG
rnacentral:rRNA from 1 species